UACGGGGGGGGCUAGCGUUGUUCGGAAUUACUGGGCGUAAAGGGCGCGUAGGCGGCCUACUAAGUCGGACGUGAAAUCCCUCGGCUCAACCGGGGAACUGCGUCCGAUACUGGUGGGCUCGAAUCCGGGAGAGGGAUGUGGAAUUCCAGGUGUAGCGGUGAAAUGCGUAGAUAUCUGGAGGAAUACCGGUGGCGAAGGCGGCAUCCUGGACCAUUACUGACGCUGAGGCGCGAAAGCUAGGGGAGCAAACGGG
rnacentral:rRNA from 1 species